rnacentral:lncRNA from 10 species
CUUCUCUCCCUCUCUCUCUCUCUCUCUCCCUCUCUCCCCCCCUCUCUCUCUUCCUCUCUCCUCUCUGUCUCUCUUUUUGCCAUCUACAUGAUCCUUGAUUAAACAUGGAACAGAGUUAAUAAAAAGGGUGGGGGGGAGACUCAAGGAGAGGAAAUGCAACUGUCAGAAAUCAGGACGGCCAGAUUUCCUGGUGAACCUGCCUCUGUCUGAGUCAGUGUCAAUCCACCAUCUUCUGCCAGUGAACUUGUCUUUGGGUUUUUGUUUGGUGUGUGUGUGGGGGGGGAUGUUGUUGUGUGUGUGUGUAUGUGUGUGUGUGCUUUUUUUGGAAGGGGGGAGGGGAAAGACAAAGUGGGGGCCGGAGGUGGGGGGAAGAGUAGGGAGAAUGUGUGUCUGUGAGUGUGUGUUGAGUGUGAGUGUGUCUCUGUGUGUGUAGGGGUCGAGGUGGGGGGGGUCCGUGUUUGCGAUCUGAACCUUUGGUACCUACAAGGAGGGUGUCUCACCGAACGGUAGCUAAAACCUCACCAGAACCGCGCGGAAGUGAGAAGUCGCGGCCAAAGGCGCCCGCAGAAGCCUCCUCUCUGGGCCGGACCCCAGCCCGAGCGGCCGAAAGGAGCCCCCCGCCCGGAUCACAGAAGUUUACAAGGAAAGGGGAAAUGUCUGAAAUGGAGAUUGCACAAUCCUGUCUUGAAGCAGAAGACUCAGCUAGAGCACAUCUGGAAACACCUGGCACUCCUCAAUAGAAUUCAAAUGCUAUUUUAAAAGAUGUAAAAUCUGAGCUGCAACACUGAACAAAAGCUGUACUUGCCAGCCAGCAAAGAUGCUACCACUCUGCACAACAGAUAAAACCCAUACAUAUAGGGAAGUCAAAAGAGUCUUUAAGCUACAGUGUUUGAGAGGCUGUUUGUCUCUGAUGGAAAAUUAAGAAAAUGAGUCCAUUUCUAAGAAGAUGUGGUUCGAACAUACAGAGCUACAUAAUAUGAGUAAAAUAGGACCUAACAGUAGUGUUCUCCAGCAUUGCUCUGCCUUUCCUUUUCUGGAUGUAACAACAUUACUAAGAAAGGAAGAAAAAGCAAAAAUCUGCUCUCGGGGAGAUUCCAGAAUGUUGGAAAGCCCCAAAUGGAAGUCUCUGCUUUGGUUACAGGACAUAAGGUUUAAUAAAUAAAAAGAUGCUCAUCUGGGAUGCUGCACCAAUUAUCAUGUACUAAAUAAGGUUACCUACUUCACUCUCCAGGUAGAAAUGUCUAUCAUAAGCAUGUGCCACAGAAGGUCUCUCAAGUAUCAUUAUUGGCUGUGUUGAAUUUUGUUUUUAGUUCUCUUUUAUAAGGUCUGUAGUCUUACUUUCAGUGAGGAAGUGUUUUCUCAGGUUCUCAAGAAAGUAACAAAAUGCCAGCAUUGUCAAGGUCACCAUUGCCACUGAAUUAUCUUACUGUCUGAUUAUUCCAUCUUCCUCUGCAUCAUAUUAGCCUGAUGACUACAUUCUAAUUAUUUAAAGCGUUAUGUAAAUCAAAGCAGUAAAUGUAAUUUCUAGUCUUACUAGAUAUCAUGUACAUUAGGUCGAAUAACUCUAGAAAUGUCGUCAUAAUCAUGUCAUGCCUAAUGAUGACCUACUCAGCCCCUGCCAACAUCAUUCAAUUACUCAUUUCAGUAUUGAUUUUUCUCAUGCCUCUCUUCGUGGCAUUUAAACAGCCCUCACAUCUCCCCUUUUACUGAGGUGUAAUGUUGUAUAAUGACAGAGAUGCUUUGCUUCCCAGAUUCAUAAUGUUACACUCUGUUUCAAAUCCUUUUGGAGACAAAUUGGGGAAUCAAUAUAUAAAUAAUGACACACUUAUUUUUAAUUAAAAUCACUGCUUUCACAGAAAUGGUAUAUUAAAAUUAUUUUUGCUAAAAAAAUUUUAAAUACCUAUGUACGAUAAAAAGACUGCCAAUCCUUGGGAUCAAGAAUAUAAUUUGCCCCAAAUAACUUUUCUGUAAAAGUAGAAUUCUUAAUGGAAAAUAGAUUAAUACAUAUAAUUUCAAGAUCUAACCUUAAAAAUGGAAAUAAUGUGUCCAUUUUUAAAAAUAAAUCAUAUUUACAUACACUGUGUUUAUGAGAGUUGUUUUGGAAUGAAACUUCUUUGCAUUUGAGAUCAAAUUCUUUUAUUCACAAGAAUUACAUUAUCUUUUUCAGCUGAAUGUUAUGUUAUACUCUUCCAAAAUCUAUUUUCCCUGCACUCAAGUAGCGGUAAAUAUUCUUUUUUUUUUCUGGAAAUUGAUAGUCUAAUUUUCUCCUGCCUCUCUUUGGCACACCCUCAUUUUGCAUGAGAUAUGCUCCUUAAUAAAAUUUCUACUCAAUAUUACAGAAACUUCCAGAAAUGGCAUCUAAAAUAUUACACUGGCCCGUUUAACUUCACCUUCACUAAUUGCAAUACAUUAUACAAAGAGCACUGUGGACAAAGGUGGAAUAUUUAACUAACUGGAUUUGGUUUCACAAACAGUAAUAAGACUUUUAAAAACAUUAUUAGAGCAUUUAUUUCAUCUCCUUUGCAAUAUAUUUUUCUUCCUUUUAAACUAGGCUUUCUAAAUUCUCAU